ACCUCGCUUCUUUCUAAAAAGUUAUUGGAUAAAUUUGUCUGCAAUUAUUCAAGUCUGGACUGUGGGACAAGCAUGCGUUUUCCACAGUAGCCAUCACAGGACACAUGCAGCCUUACCCAGGCCGCUCGCCCACCCCGCUGAGGUCCACACUGGCGCUCGCAUCCAGCCUCUGCCCAGGGACUCCCCAGCUCCUGGCGAGCCCCACCCCUGGGGCCCGGGCCCUCGUGCGACCCCAUUAAGUCUCGGCUCCCUGAGCUUUGACUCCACAGGCAGCUACGAGUAGCAUCUUCCCAGGCGGGCGGACCCUCCCUCAUCUGGGACCCCCGCCCCGUCUGGGUCCCCGGGUCUGCACUCGCUGCCCCCUCGGCCUCAGCACACAGUAGGGCUGCUGGCAGCAGGUGAGGCUGCGCCUUGGCCAGGGGACCCGGCGAGCGCUCUCUCUUUUCCCUCCCAGGUGGCGCAGAGGUGCUGUGGCGGCUGCUUUAUCCCCGGCAGGGAGCAGAUGCCCGGCCCAGGAUCGAAUCCAAGCUGAGGCUCACUGCCCCGAGGUGGGCAGUGAGCUCGUGGCCCCCAAGGCCAGGGUGUGGCUCAGCCUUGGCCCCCCAGGAUGGCACGCCUGCCCAGAGGAGUGCGGGACCCUCCCAGGCUGAGCUCGCCAGUGUCCCUCGGCUCCAUCUUGCCUGGAUAUGACGUCCCCGCACUGAAAACCGCCUCACAUUCUUCCCUGGCCGACGGGCCGUGUCGGAGGGCUGGGCUGUGCGCGCUGUGGCACUGAUGAGAGGACCUUGCAAGGUUAGUGACCUGUGCAAGAUCCGCUAGGAAGCGGGACCCAGGAUUCCGAUCCAGGUUCGUCUGAUUUCUGUGCCGAAUAGAAACGGGGAAGGCGAGGGGUCAGGUCCGUGGAUGGAGGGACCCCUGAGUCGAGACGCGUCAGUGCACAGCGCUGGCUGGCCGGCCGAUAAAUGCUGGACGGCUGUCGUGAGGCUCACGCGGGGUAAUGUAUGCUCAGGCACGCUGUGAGUGCUGCGUGCGGGUCCAGGAGGUGCAGCAUCCAUGGUCCUCUGUUGCUUAGAGGGAACUUGCACUUAAACUUGAUGCUUUUCAUUUUCGUACCACCUGGGAGGGAGGGAAGGCUGGAUUGUUGCCUGCUCCCCGAGGCUCCGAGAGGGCACGGCCCCCGCGGUGCCAGGAAGGCGGAGGCAGGACUGGUCCUGUUCCAUGCCUAGUGUUCUUUCCGCGACUCCCUCAGGAAAGUCCCCAAGUGGAUGUGUUUAUGAAUAUAUUACCUGCCAGACGCAUGCAUAACGUGCGCAUGUUUUAAAUGUGUUUGUUAUUUCCAGGUCUCAGAGGUGCUCUGAGGCCAGCGUGCUGGACACCUCCUGGGCCGGCCCGGGAGAGGGGGAAGGAAGCUGGCGUGUAUUGUCAGGAGGGUCAAAGCAGAGCCCUCUUUGGAUUUGGGGAUCAAGCUGGUGUAGACGCCCCUGGGAGCAGCCCCGUUCACGCAGUGAAGCCCUUCCUUCGGUUUCUACUUUCCAGGGCACUUGUUCCAACUUUGAUGCCAUGUCCAAAACGGAACAGAUCCCAGCCAUUUCCUGCCCGAGGCCCAUCCUUCCCGAAGCCCUCGACUUGGCCUGAGCGUCAUUCUUGGUCCAGUUAGACGGGGGGCCAUUUGACCAGCGUGGUGGGUGGCACGGGCCGGGGCGGGAGCCGCGGGGAGCUGUUCUGCAGUUCACCCUCAGCUCGGAUCCGCGAGGUGUUCCCUCCCAUCCUCGGUCUACAAAUCGCACCAGUCGGGGCACAAGACAGAGAGGCCAGGUCACGUCUCUGCAGUUACACAGCUCAUGAGUGCCUGCUGGGGUGGAACCUGGUCUGUCUGUCUGUCUAGCACCACCGCGUGGGCGCUGCUGCAGAGGGAACAGAGGUUGGGUGAGGGGCUCAGAUGGGGUGUGUGUGUGGGGUUACCUGGCUGACUUUGGCAUGAAAAUAAUGGCUAAAUCUGCUUAGGGAAGAGCACCGUGGCUGUUGUCCACUUAGGGAAGCGGCCCCUCAGAGGUUAAGGUCACUUGCCUGACGUCGCCCAUCUCGGCAGGUUUUGGGCUGGGUUUGGAGGUGGGCCAUGUGGUGUGAGCAUAUGUGCCCUAAGCGUGGGACACCAUUACCUCGUGCCUGUGAGCAUGGGCGGAGGUGGCACACAGAGUCCAGGGAGCUCGGUUUGAGUCCUCUGACCGCCCCUGGCAGGUGUGCUCCUACGUCGGUCACGUGUAUUUAAUUUUCCCCCUUGACGGAGGCCCAGCAGAGGCCCAGUAAGCUACUGGCCCAUGACAAUACUUUCUAAGAAUACGUAUGUGUGGUAACAUUUAACACAUAUAAAGGAGGAAAGGGAGGGUACCCAGGAGAUUGGAGGUGAUGAUUUAAGGCAGAGGCUGUAAGGGUUUGGGGGAGGGUCAUGUGUGGUUAUUGUCCUGGUUUUAACAAAUGACACAAUAAGAGAGGCUCGCCGGGAAGAGUGAGCGAGACUGGAUCAUGGACCAAGGAUUGUGAUUAAUUCGCCACAACCGAGGGACACGAAGAGAUCAGAGUGGUUUGUAGUGGUUAAUUUUACUCUUAAAAAUAAUAUAAUAAAGGCCUGGAAUAGAGCAAUUGUGAGAAUGUGUUCUGGACAAAAGAUUAUGAUUAACCCAGGUCUGCUAACCUGACAUUAGCAAACAGAAAAGGUCGAGGCUGUUUUCCUCCGCUUAAUGGGGCUUUGUCUUCCUUAGAAUAGACACGCCCAGUUUGUCCACCAGAGAAAAUCUUGGCCACGAGAAAGAGACUGUAGACAGUAUAUGGGCAUUUAAUGGGUGUUCACCAAAUAGUCAUAGAUGAAUGCAUAUGCAUAAAUAAAAUUAAAGAGGGCCAGGCAUGGGCCGAUGAUGAGAAUGUGUUUUUAAACACGAUUACGAGUAAUCUAGUUCACCCCUCACCCAACCCAGCAAGUCGCGACUGUGGGUAUAUGGAGCAGUCAUUGCUCUGGGCUGAAAGGUGGCUUCAAGUGUAUUUGCCGUGUAGUUAAAAAUAAAUUUGACGAGUAAUAAAAUAAAUGACAAAUUGAAAGAGGGCCAAGAAUGACCACCAAAGAUGUUUUAUGAAUUAUGGAUUGAGAUCAAUCUAAUUUAUGUACAAUUGUGGACUAUUUAAAGCAACGAAACAAACAAAUUUCUUACCUCUGUGGAUAAGAAGCAUUGGUACGCAAAUACUGAUCUAGGUACUAAUUGGUAUUUUUCUUUUGGGUUAGUGCUGAGCUCAUGUGUGUUUAUUGUAUUUAAAAAGUAAGUGAGAGCAAUGAGAAGGACAAGUGGAAAACAAUAACGAGAUUAUAUCUGAAAUCAAAGAUUAUUAUUACUCCAACUCUGCGCAUCUGAGUCUCUCGGGAGUGAGAUCUGGGCUGGUUCUUUGUAAGAAGUGUAGAGACAGAUACUUAUAAUUGUUGUUAUUCUUGCUUUUGAUUAGGGUGGCGAAUUUGUGCAUGUUCACUGUGAUAAAAUCAUUAGACGAAAAAAUACGGACGAUGAGAGCUAUGCUUGGGCCAAUGGCGAGACUGCGUCAUAAGCCAAAGAUCAUGAUGGGUCCCGUGCUGCUCACCUGACAGCUGUUAAGAAGCACCCAGGCUGUCUUAUCCUAAAAUAUCUGCCUUGUACUUCACAGGACAGAGACCUGGAGUGGGCCUGAUGAUAAAGACCUCGGCUGCUACGUGUCUGGGAAACGGAACACGGACCAGCCAAGAUUCAAUAUACUCAUCUGACGUAUUCAUUAUCUAGCGAUGAAGGUCUUGACUGUUACUUCUGUGGAUAAGGAGCAAAGGGACUGAAUGGCUACAGGACAGUAGACUUAUUCAUCCCCUAAGAAACAAAAUCUUGGCAGCCAGCUCUGCGGAUAAAGAGCAGAAAUGAAUAUUACACUGUUCGCUGAUUUACUUGUUCUCUACCUAUUGGGACUAAAGAGCAUGAAGACCAGUAGUGAAUGUAGGACAGUUGAUUGAAAGGAUCGAUGUCAAGAGCAAAGAGCAUCAAGACUAAUAUAACUUCUUUUCUUCCCGAAUGAACACUCCACGUUGGAUUCAGUCAUUGUCCGGUGAUGGCGACCUUGGCUGUGAACUUCUGUCCAUGGAAAAGAGCAACAAUGAAGAUCGUGGCUGAUUGAAUUAAUCUCUACCGAUGAAGAUCUUGGCUGCUACCUUCAAUGGACACAUAAUGAUUCAGUUAAAGACCGUAGAACCUUAUACAUGAUUGAAGAUAAUGAGGACCAAUCUUGGACCAAUGAUGACAACUGGUGGAGUAUGAAUCAUGGAAGAUGAAUACUAUGUGUCUGGAACUCUGAGGUCCAACACAACAAGAAAUCUGAAUGGAUGCUCCCUGCUGAUUUAAGCGUCUUCUGUGGUCAUGAGCUCCGGUCGCCUCCAUGUGUUAGUUCCGUGGAGACCAGCAAUGCACGUAUUGGAGCUGAGUUAAAGAUUCUUCUAUAGUCACGAGAUGUCUGGUUGUCUCUCUGUUUGGUGCAUAGAAACAAAUAAUGGACACACCAAAACUGACCUAAGCUUGAUGUCCUGGUCAGCGACCUCUGUAUUUUCCUGUAGGAGCGUGGAACCAACAAUGAACGUGGUCAAGCCGAUUUCAGCACCCUCCGUGCCCCAUGGUUGCCUCUGUGUAGGGAGCAUGGAGACCAAGAAUAAGAACGCUUAUGCGGAUUUAAGCAUCUGUAGUGUUUCUGUGCACCACGCCGGCCUCUGGGUGGGAACGUGAGGGCAGUAAUCGAUGCACAGCUGAUUUGUUUUCCAUGGUAACGAGAUCUAUGGUUUCUCCUGUGGGUUCGGCAUGGAGAUGAAUCUGGACACACCUGAGCUGAUUAAGCCUUUGGCCGUGAUCAGGAGCUCCGCUGGUCAUGUGGAGAACAGGUGCUCCAGGCUGAUUUCCAUUUCUACCGUGAUCAAGGUCGUCAUGCUGCCUUUGUGUAGGGAGAGAAGCCAGUUUUCCUAGGUGACUGACUGGAUGAAAGGUGGAAUGCGAGGGUCAGCGGAGAUGGGUCUCAGGCUUUUUUUUUAUCAUCUGCCCUGCUGUCCUCAGAAUGGAUGUGCUUGAGCCGAUUUGUGGGUUCUUCUACCAUCACGAGCUCCAGGGUUGCAUCUGGGUGUUCGAGUGUGGAGGCCAGUGUUUGUACUGCAGGUUAUAAACAUCCUCUGUGGCAAUGAUCUAAGCUGUUAAUUCAGUGAAGAACCCCAUAAGAAGACGUUUUCCCUAAACAUUUUGUAAUUGAUGUACGCUAUUUUCAUUCUGAGGAAGGAGCACAUAGGAGAUAAUGGAUGCUGUUGCUGAUUUCAGCUUCCACCAUGAUCAAGAUUGUCACGUGGCCCCUGUGUGAAGAAAGAACCUCACAACAGAUGUUUGAUCUGAUUUCAUCUAUUGUUAUCAAGAUGGUCACGUUCCCUUUCUCUUAGGAAAGAGAUCUAGAACAGACACACUCAAGCUGCUAUAAGCAUCUCAGUGGUGGCCCUGUGAUUGUAUCUCUGUGUUGGGAGUUCACUAUGGCCACAUUUGGGCGACUUCAGGGUCUUCCACAGACAGGAACUCCAUGGUCACGUCUAUGCAUUAAAAGCAUGGAUACCAAUGUGAGUGAUAGUCAAAAGUUGUUUUUUUGGUUUAGUGGUUUUUAAAAAAGGUUUCCCUGCAUUAUUAAAAGUGUCAUAUAAAGUCAAACACCGUAACCAUGGCUAAGUAGUAAAUUUGGGGUUAAUAUGGAGCAUUAUAUUAAUUAAUCUACACAAGAUGACAUCGAAGUUAAUUAAUGAAAGAUUUAUAGUCAGUAGUAAAUAAUUCUAUAGAGAAAUGUUAGAGAUAUUUAAAGAUCUUGUUUUAAUCGGCAUUUAUUUUAUUGUUUUUAGUUAACCAAUGAGUUAAUCAAUAAAAACGUAGGAACGUUAAUGAAUAUAAUGAGUACCAAACCUGAAGCAAUGAUGAUGAUUGGUCUUGUCUGAGUCUUGGCUCCUGAAAACUAUAGGUCUGAAACUCUGAGGUCCAGCACAGAACAUAGGUCAAAUCUCUCUAUUGGAACUGUUUCUAUAGAGAGAUAUCAAGAAUAUAUGAUGUUCAUAUUCUUAUAUGAAUUUCACAAAUGUAGAUUUGUUAUUGUUAAUGGUAUAAUGAUGGAACCAUUAACAAAUAUAAAUAAAUAUUUGAAAAAUAAGAGGGGGAAGCAUUGUCCAACUAUUAUAAAUGUGUGGCAAUGCCCCUUCAGACAUUAGUAGUUAAGGCUCUCACCUCUUAGACUGAGGUCAUAUAAACUCUGAUAAGGAAGAGUCGAUUUUAUUCUUCUUGGUACUGAAGAUCGCGUUUUUCCUUUUGUACGAUAGACAGAUAGAUGGAUAGAUGAAUGGAUGGAUGGAUGGAUAGAUGGAUGGAUAGAUACAUAGAUAUUAAGAAAACUAAAUUGAUAUUGAAUAUAUGAAAAGUGAAAAGCAAGGAUCAGCGGUGACUAGGUCUUUUUUUUUUUUUUUCAAUCACUUACUUUCCCUGUGCUCCUGAGAAUGGAAACACUUGAGCCAAAGAGAGCGUCUUCCGCGGUCAUGAGCUCUGUGAUUCUUCUAUAUGAGAAGAGAGCGAAGGUUAAUGAUGGACACACUGGCGCUGAUUUGAGGAUUCUUCCUUGAUGGAGAGGACAGACUCUGGGCUUGCAUCUCUGUUUGAGGAGCAACAAGACCAACGUAAGACACACUCAGGCUGCUUCAGUUCAGCAUCUUCCACGGUCGCGAGCUCUUUGGUUACCUCUGUCUACUAGGAGGAUGGAGAUCAAUAAUGGACACAAUGGACCUGAUGCAAG